UUUUUAUACUCCCUCUGUUCC
rnacentral:snRNA from 1 species